GCAUCGGUGGUUCAGUGGUAGAAUGCUCGCCUGCCACGCGGGCGGCCUGGGUUUGAUUCCUUUGCCGAUGCA